GACAGAGGAUGCAAGCGUUAUCCGGAAUGAUUGGGCGUAAAGCGUCUGUAGGUGGCUUUUUAAGUCUGCCGUCAAAUCCCAGGGCUUAACCCUGGACAGGCGGUGGAAACUACCAAGCUGGAGUACGGUAGGGGCAGAGGGAAUUUCCGGUGGAGCGGUGAAAUGCGUAGAGAUCGGAGAGAACACCAACGGCGAAGGCACUCUGCUGGGCCGACACUGACACUGAGAGACGAAAGCUAGGGGAGCAAAUGGG
rnacentral:rRNA from 1 species